ACACGACUACAUUAGAUACCCCCGUAGUCCUAGCCGUAAACGAUACUCGCUAGGUGUCGGCCACGGUGCGACCGUUGUCGGUGCCGUAGGGAAGCCGUGAAGCGAGCCACCUGGGAAGUACGGCCGCAAGGCUGAAACUUAAAGGAAUUGGCGGGGAGCACCACAACGCGUGGAGCCUGCGGUUUAAUUGGAUUCAACGCCGGACAUCUCACCAGGGCGACAGCAGAAUGAUGGCCAGGUUGAUGACCUUGCUUGACAAGCUG
rnacentral:rRNA from 1 species